GAUGAACGCUGGCGGCGUGCCUAAUACAUGCAAGUCGAGCGAACGGACGAGAAGCUUGCUUCUCUGAUGUUAGCGGCGGACGGGUGAGUAACACGUGGAUAACCUACCUAUAAGACUGGGAUAACUUCGGGAAACCGGAGCUAAUACCGGAUAAUAUUUUGAACCGCAUGGUUCAAAAGUGAAAGACGGUCUUGCUGUCACUUAUAGAUGGAUCCGCGCUGCAUUAGCUAGUUGGUAAGGUAACGGCUUACCAAGGCAACGAUGCAUAGCCGACCUGAGAGGGUGAUCGGCCACACUGGAACUGAGACACGGUCCAGACUCCCACGGGAGGCAGCAGUAAGGAAUCUUCCGCAAUGGGCGAAAGCCUGACGGAGCAACGCCGCGUGAGUGAUGAAGGUCUUCGGAUCGUAAAACUCUGUUAUUAGGGAAGAACAUAUGUGUAAGUAACUGUGCACAUCUUGACGGUACCUAAUCAGAAAGCCACGGCUAACUACGUG
rnacentral:rRNA from 1 species